CCGCGGUAAUUCCAGCUCCAGUAGUGUUGUGUGAAGUUGCUGCGGUUAAAACGCACGUAGUUGGAUUACGCAGUGUGAGAACGGUACUUAAUGUGAUGUGACGUUUAAAGCUUUGAUAUGAAUUGGUGUUGAGGAUAACGGAUGUAUAGCUCUUGCUUGCAUUACGACCUUUGCAUUGAUCAUGUUGAGGUGUCACAAUGCAUUAAAUCAUGCCGUCUUAUGCUACAUGUAUUGUGAAUGUGGCGUAUUGCCUUUACUGGUCGUGCGUUGUGUUUGCGGAGUGUGCCUUGAAUAAAUCAAAGUGCUUAAAGCAGGCGUGAUAGCUUGAAUGUUAAUAGCAUGGAACGAACAAUUGUGAAUGCAUGAGUACAGUGUGAUGUAUGGGUAAUGCUUAUGUGUGUGACUGAGCUCAUGUAGCACUAACCGUUGAUAUGGAUGUUGGUUUCCGUAUUGAGGUGAGUAUUAAAACGAGCGGUUGGGGGCAUUAGUAUUUGGCCGCGAGAGGUGAAAUUAA
rnacentral:rRNA from 1 species